rnacentral:rRNA from 1 species
UACGGGGGGGGCAAGCGUUGUUCGGAAUUACUGGGCGUAAAGGGCUCGUAGGUGGCCAACUAAGUCAGACGUGAAAUCCCCAGGCUUAACCUGGGAACUGCGUCUGAUACUGGAUGGCUUGAAUUCGGGAGAGGGAUGCAGAAUUCCAGGUGUAGCGGUGAAAUGCGUAGAUAUCUGGAGGAAUACCGGUGGCGAAGGCGGCAUCCUGGACCGAGAUUGACACUGAUGAGCGAAAGCUAGGGGAGCGAACGGG